UACGUAGGGGGCAAGCGUUGUCCGGAUUUACUGGGCGUAAAGAGCGCGUAGGCGGAAACGCCAGUCCGGCUUGAAAGCCCCCGGCUCAACCGGGGAGAGUGGCUGGAAACUGCGUUUCUUGAGGGCGAGAGAGGAGGGUGGAAUUCCUGGUGUAGCGGUGAAAUGCGUAGAUAUCAGGAGGAACACCGGUGGCGAAGGCGGGUCUCUGGGCCGAUACUGACGCUGAGGAGCGAAAGCGUGGGGAGCGAACAGG
rnacentral:rRNA from 1 species